ACAUCUCACACAGCUUCGUUGGAUGCGGCAGCAGUCGGAAGGAUUUCACUUGAUCAGCAAUCAUCAAUUCAAGCUGCGGCGGGUGUGACGGGCGCGUCGCACAAUGCGGGACAAGAAGUCGCAGGAGAAACGGACGCGGGUCUUUCUACAUCUGGAACUGGCUUGUUCACCCGUUGGAGCCAUGGUGACAUGAGAUAAAGACAAUGCUUGCGGAUUCAGGACCUCUCGUAGCUUCGUCCCUAAGAGCCUGUGGCAGGAGAAUGGACACCCCAAGGAGGACCCCAUGGAUAAAGGAAAGGCAAAUUGAUGGUGACAGCAAGUUUAUUAACUCAGGAUGAAAAGGAUUUUCACAGUUUCAAUGA